GGCGAAGGUGGCAGCUGGGAAGAUUUCCGUGUCCAGAGAGAGGUGUUCCUGAUGUGUCUGUUGAAAUAAACUAGUAACCGGCUCACGUGGCCAGAGACCAGCAUCUGCCUUGUUGAAGCCUUGGAGCACUAUGCACAUUGCAAGAUGCAGACUUCAGUUAUCUGUGAGAGGAAAGGAGAAAGAAUCUAAGGGAAUGGGAUUUUUCUCUGGAAGAACUGACGUUUUUCUCACAGACAGAGAUGCUCAGAGCAUAGGGACAGCAUUCUUCCCAUUUGGAAUAAUCCUUCAUCAUCCCUACAAUUUGUAAAAAGAUUGAUGAGGUAUCAGUUCCAGGUUUUGUCGCACCAGUCACUGAGUAGGUGCAGGCUUUACAAGACAGGCCCAGAGCUUGGAGCUGGGUGAAAAGCACUCAGAG